AUUGAACGCUGGCGGCAGGCCUAACACAUGCAAGUCGAACGAGUGGCGGACGGGAGAGUAAUGUCUGGGAAACUGCCCGAUGGCGGGGGAUAACUACUGGAACCGGUAGCUAAUACCGCAUACCAUCGGAUGUGCCCAGUUGGGCUUAGCUAGUAGGUGGGGUAACGACUCACCUAGGCGACGAUCCGUAGCUGGUCUGAGAGGAUGACCGGCCACACUGGAACGGAGACACGGUCCAGACUCCUACGGGAGGCAGCAGUGGGGUAUAUUAGACAAUGGGCGCAAGCAUGAUGCAGCCAGGCCGCGUGUAUGAAGGAGGCCUUCGGGUUGUAAAGUACUUUCAGCGGGGAGGCGUUACUCGCAGAAGAAGCACCGGCUAACUCCGUGCCAGCAGCCGCGGUAAUUC
rnacentral:rRNA from 1 species